AAAACCCAUUUCUUCUUACUAAUAUAUAAUAAAUAUUUUUUCUUAGAAGGUUUCUUAACAAUAACCCCCCAUUUCAUAGGCUGAGACUUGGAGACUUGCUGUCUUCAUUCCACACCUACCUCAGCAAAACGAUUCGAAAUAUCACGAUUUCGUCAAUUACAUGAUGUUGGAGAAAGCCUGCUGGUCAACAAUUUCUGGCAAUUGUAACCUGGCCGUAAUCGGUGAAUUCGGUGUUGGUCAAACGUAGACACUUUGUUUCCUAAACUAGGUUAAUAGGUUUCUUAAUAGUACCACCGCAUAUAAAGGCUGCGACGAGGAUUUUCUAUCUUGACGCCGUACCUAUACCAAUCUUGGAAAUGUGGUUUGUGAGGACGAUUCAAUACUAGUCGGUUUUGGACACUUCCCAUUUAACGAAGAAAGCUUACAAAUUGAAUUUAUAGAACAAUUAUGGUAAACAGCAAUUUACGUAACAGGAAA